CCAAACCGACACAGGUGGUCAGGUAGAGAAUACCAAGGCGCUUGAGAGAACUCGGGUGAAGGAACUAGGCAAAAUGGUGCCGUAACUUCGGGAGAAGGCACGCUGAUAUGUAGGUGAAGUCCCUCGCGGAUGGAGCUGAAAUCAGUCGAAGAUACCAGCUGGCUGCAACUGUUUAUUAAAAACACAGCACUGUGCAAACACGAAAGUGGACGUAUACGGUGUGACGCCUGCCCGGUGCCGGAAGGUUAAUUGAUGGGGUCAGCGCAAGCGAAGCUCUUGAUCGAAGCCCCGGUAAACGGCGGCCGUAACUAUAACGGUCCUAAGGUAGCGAAAUUCCUUGUCGGGUAAGUUCCGACCUGCACGAAUGGCGUAAUGAUGGCCAGGCUGUCUCCACCCGAGACUCAGUGAAAUUGAACUCGCUGUGAAGAUGCAGUGUACCCGCGGCAAGACGGAAAGACCCCGUGAACCUUUACUAUAGCUUGACACUGAACAUUGAGCCUUGAUGUGUAGGAUAGGUGGGAGGCUUUGAAGUGUGGACGCCAGUCUGCAUGGAGUCGACCUUGAAAUACCACCCUUUAAUGUUUGAUGUUCUAACGUGGACCCGUGAUCCGGGUUGCGGACAGUGUCUGGUGGGUAGUUUGACUGGGGCGGUCUCCUCCUAAAGAGUAACGGAGGAGCACGAAGGUUGGCUAAUCCUGGUCGGACAUCAGGAGGUUAGUGCAAUGGCAUAAGCCAGCUUGACUGCGAGCGUGACGGCGCGAGCAGGUGCGAAAGCAGGUCAUAGUGAUCCGGUGGUUCUGAAUGGAAGGGCCAUCGCUCAACGGAUAAAAGGUACUCCGGGGAUAACAGGCUGAUACCGCCCAAGAGUUCAUAUCGACGGCGGUGUUUGGCACCUCGAUGUCGGCUCAUCACAUCCUGGGGCUGAAGUAGGUCCCAAGGGUAUGGCUGUUCGCCAUUUAAAGUGGUACGCGAGCUGGGUUUAGAACGUCGUGAGACAGUUCGGUCCCUAUCUGCCGUGGGCGAUGGAGAACUGAGGGGGGCUGCUCCUAGUACGAGAGGACCGGAGUGGACGCAUCACUGGUGUUCGGGUUGUCAUGCCAAUGGCACUGCCCGGUAGCUAAAUGCGGAAGAGAUAAGUGCUGAAAGCAUCUAAGCACGAAACUUGCCCCGAGAUGAGUUCUCCCUGACCCUUUAAGGGUCCUGAAGGAACGUUGAAGACGACGACGUUGAUAGGCCGGGUGUGUAAGCGCAGCGAUGCGUUGAGCUAACCGGUACUAAUGAACCGUGAGGCUUAACCUU
rnacentral:rRNA from 1 species